rnacentral:rRNA from 1 species
GACGAACGCUGGCGGCGUGCUUAACACAUGCAAGUCGAACGGAAAGGCCCUGCUUUUGUGGGGUGCUCGAGUGGCGAACGGGUGAGUAACACGUGAGUAACCUGCCCUUGACUUUGGGAUAACUUCAGGAAACUGGGGCUAAUACCGGAUAGGAGCUCCUGCUGCAUGGUGGGGGUUGGAAAGUUUCGGCGGUUGGGGAUGGACUCGCGGCUUAUCAGCUUGUUGGUGGGGUAGUGGCUUACCAAGGCUUUGACGGGUAGCCGGCCUGAGAGGGUGACCGGCCACAUUGGGACUGAGAUACGGCGCAGACUCCUACGGGAGGCAGCAGUGGGGAAUAUUGCACAAUGGGCGGAAGCCUGAUGCAGCAACGCCGCGUGCGGGAUGACGACCUUCGGGUUGUAAACCGCUUUCGCCUGUGACGAAGCGUGAGUGACGGUAAUGGGUAAAGAAGCACCGGCUAACUACGUG